AGCCUCGUCGAACGCAGUUUCAAACAAAUAAAAUAAAAUUGGUCUGAGCUGCAUUUGGUGCAGGUUUGCCAGUCGUACUGUGGUGUACAUCGGGUGUCUGUCAUCGCCACCCUGUGUAACUGCACACUAAACCCUGGACCGUCCUCCAUGGCAGGAACCCCAUUUCUUUCUCGCCGACUGCGGGGCCAGUUGGAGGGCUUCCAUUUCCCUCCCUCUCUGUCUUCUUUCUAAAGCCCGGAGAGGUGGCGGACUGGAGGUCUCCCCAAACCAUUAUACGUAAAAUUUGUUGCCGGGCCUUUUGAAAGCCAGGGCUCCUUCUUAGUUCAUUUGCGAUAUGUACAACAUAUUUGGAAACACGGGCCAUUGUGAGGAGCUGAAUGCCCCGUUCUCUCCGGGUGACUUUUUUUGGAGUGGGCCUUUCUCGCCGCACAAUGGCCUGGUCUCGGCGCAUUAUGGAAAGGCAAACGUGCGAAAUGAUACAGCCCAGCACUUGCCUCGCCUCGUUCUCUGGGUUCUCCGUCCCACACAAUGGACUUCUGCUACUCCUUUUUUUCCCCCCUUUGCAGCAUUGUGGGCGAUUUCUAAAGCCGUCGGGUCUAGCCUGACUAUAGCUUUGCACACUCAUGCAAACGACGAGAGAAAAAGACUGGGGCUGUACUCCAGGCUGGCAAUGCUGGAGGGACUGCCGUGCUGGCAACAGCCACCCGACACGGAGCUGGAGGUGCCGCGGACGGAGAAUGUGAAAGAAAAAGAAAUAUCAGCUAGAGAAGGACAGAAGGAAGCAAGAAUGGACGACACAGCUAAUGAACAAUACUAAAUACUGACGAGAGGCUGCAUCAUCAGUGGAUAUGAUGACACAACUCUUCCAGAAGGACGCUGGGUCAAAGGUGAAACUCUUCAGACAUGAUCUUUUCCGCUGGAGCAAGUCGCUUAAGGAAAGAGUUACGAAGAUUGUAUUUUGUUUUGUUUUUUUCCUUGAAGGCUUUGUGUACACUGUGUUGUCACACGCGGGAGUUGUUUACAAUAAUCCUCGUCCCGAGGUCAGCCCAGGCCAUGUCGUUAGCUAAUGAUAAGCUUGCCUCUUGUGAUCUGCUUGACAGCCUCGUUGCCAUCUGACACAAGCCGGCAACCUGGCACCUACACGAGGAGCACCUUGCUUGAUGUCACCUGAGUGUUGGCGACCAGAGUGACCUGUGCUCACGUGGGACACAGCAGGACUGAGGGUAGCAGUCUGCAGUCUGAGAGUAGUCCUCCUUCUGUUCAUCAAGGAACGGAGCGGAAUAUGAGAGUCUACAAAAGCCCUUUAAAGCCACUUCUUAGACAGACAGACAGACAGACAGACAGACAGACAGACAGACAGACAGACAGACAGACUUGUGUUUGCUUGCGUUUGGAUUUCACUGGGCUCUGGAAUGUCCUCCUGGCAGAUGUUUCAGUUUGCAGGCACCUGGUGUCUUCCAGUGCUUCCACAAGCCGAUGUCGAUGUCCUGCGAGCUGCUGGCGUCCAGAUCGAAGCCCAGUGUUGCUCUCCCAGUGUUUUGUGCUUCCUGUGGCAGUUAAUCCGUUGCAGUCGUUUGAGCCAAGAAAGGGACAACACAAAUGUUGAUCAAAUUAACGUGUGGACAGGAAAUAGUCCGUCUAAGCAAGCAAGAGUUCGAUCUCCAGAAAAAAUUGUUGGAGGAAGCCAUCUCAGCCCUCAAUCUGCAGUUGUGUUUGACAAGCUUCAGUGAGGAGGUGUGUAGCCACGUGAGGUGUGUGAGGAGGUGUGUGACCAGCCAAGCCCCCAGGUUAACGGCUACAGGCGCAACUUUCACACACAAACACCACAAACAACACCGAGAUGUCAUCGCUGCAUGUUGUGGUGCUCAUUCUGUGACCAUUGCCCAGCAGAACUCUCUCGGACGGAGAUAUCUCAGUUAAUAAACCCAUGAGGAGAACACCUGUCCUUGUCCUCUGAAAGUGCUUCUUGGCUGAGAUCAGUUCUCCACGACACCACUCGGCUUUUUUCACUUGUGUGUGUGUUGGGAAGAUCAGUCGUCCAAGCAGUCGAUGGUGGUUCCCUGCGGGUUUUUGGUGCAAACUUUCUCGAGACAUUCAUCAGCUGCAGGGAAAUAUAAAAUUCUUCAUUCACCUAGUCCUUCAGCUUCAACUGAUUACAAGCUGAAGUUUCAGCAAGUCAGGUGAUACACAAUCGGAGGUGAGUGAAAGUGUGUACGUGGAUACCAGGGUACGUUAGGUCCACUAAUAUCAAACAGUAGACAGGCUGCUGCUGUGGUCUACACUGCUUACCACUAAUAUCAAACAACAGGAGACCACUAAUAUCAAACAGUAGACAGGCUGCUACUGUAGUCUACACUGUGUACUGCUACAUAGUGUGAUCUUGGUGUGCUACAUCACUUAGUGUGCUACUGUGGCAUAAGGAAUGCGAGUAUUUCCCACGUACCUCCCACUGCUGGAAUCCAUCUCUCAGUAAGUUUUGAUUUUGUCCAUCUGAAUGUUUGCAUUAUUUCGAUGAAUAAAAGGAAAACAACAUCUUUCCUAGUGAUCUCUCGACUGCACUGCAUUCUGUGUCGACAAUUUUGUUUCUGGUGUGCAAUCUCUGAAUCAAAUGGGCUACAUACCUACUUCUUCUCAGUGAUGCCUUCUUCGCUUAAUGGAUUACAGUCCGCACCUCACAGGAUGUGCACUGGAUUUAAUGGAUAGCAUGAUGGAUCAGCUGCGUUGUGUGUUUUUAAAGCCCAUGGAUCGCUGUGAAGCACUGGAGAACACUGGUUGCCUGGGGUUUUGUCGGAACAUCGAACUGAACUCGUCUGGUGCACACUGUGCAGUCCAUGGAUUACGAAACAAAUUGGAUGGACUGCACUUCUUUCCACCCUGAUGUGCAGCUGGAAUUGAGUGCUCGAAGGAUUAAAAGAUUACCUCGCGGGUGAGGUCACCCGUGACCAGAACACUGAGUGUUUGAGGUGGACACGGGGAUAUGAUCACCCCUGGGCCCUGGCCUCGUGUAGAUCACACCGAGAGUGCACAGUUCAACUUCCUCUGUGGAUUACACUGCACAGAGCAAAGCCUCCUGAUUCAUGGAUUACACACUGGCAGUGCUACAUCCACUUUUUAUUGGAUUACAUUGGCUUACAGUGAACUAGCGAACGGAGGAUAUUCCAGAAGAUGCAAAGAAAGUGAAGAAAGUUCACAAAUCGAGGCAAUUACACCAGAAACCGUGCCUGCCGUCUCUACAAGGUACAUGCAUCUCUCAACAAGUCCUCGCCAUCAUCGACACGGUGUGAGAGCGAGGUGUCAUGGGUCAUUGCGGAUUAUGCAGCGACUGCUGAUUUCGUCUGCGGAUUUGUAUUGCUAUUAUUAUUACAUUUGUGCUGCACCUGUUCUGUGAUGGAUGCAUGGCAUGAUGUCACGGGAAGAAAUGGCAAGCUUGCUGUCCCUCUUUUUGGGAGGAUUUAAAGAUAUGCCCAGGGGCAGCCAUUCGGCUUGUUUUUUUGAGGGUCUUGUCACUGAUAGGAUCGUGUACCUCACCUGGUCAUCUCAUCCCUGGAACGCCUUACUGAACCCUGAUCCCCGAUCCUUGGUCCUGCUAAGGUGGUCUGAGACGAUCAAGUACAAGAGUUUCCUUUUGUCUCUUUGAGGAUUCUACACGUGUGGUACAACUGUACAAGAAGUGACUUUGGACAGGAGGGAGUGUCGUCGUGCCAGGUUCCUGUCAUCAGCAGGUUCCCCACGACCGACGAGUCACGUGACAGGUUACAGAGAGUUUCCAGGUUCGUCUUCUCUCUUGUGGAAAAGGUUUCGGAUUACCAGUGUAACGGCACACAGACAGCAGGAGACAACGGUCCAGGAAAGAAGAAUGAAGCCAACCGAUGGUGUGAUGAUGGUCAAGCAUGACUUCACCCCACGAAGGAGCAUCACACGCGCGGUGCAGUCACGUGACUGUCAUCUCAGUCUUGAAGGACAGGGUCACAGGGUCAGUCGCCAGCAGGACACA